AUUGCAGGAGUUAAAAUUUAGCUAAUCCUUAAUUAAAUUAUAUAACCAAAUCACAUUAGUAAUUUCCUAAUUUGUAAGAAUAAUGACAAAAUCAAGAGAGACAACAAUAAAAUCAUGAAUUAGAUGGUCUCGAAAUAGUUGAGCCCAUCAAGCUUUGGCACAAACCUUGGGGCUUUGCUUGGUGGUUGCUUCUGUUUUGUUGGUCAUCAAUGAUAAAGAUGAGUUUUGCUGCAAUUGAAGAGAUGACGAGCUAAGAAUUCAGUCCAUGGCAGGGACAAUGACGAUGCAUGGUAGGGACCAUGAUGAGACUCAACUUGG
rnacentral:misc_RNA from 1 species